ACGCUGGCGGCGUGCUUAACACAUGCAAGUCGAACGGAAAGGCCCUGCUUGCGAGGGUACUCGAGUGGCGAACGGGUGAGUAACACGUGGGUGAUCUGCCCUGCACUUCGGGAUAAGCCUGGGAAACUGGGUCUAAUACCGGAUAGGAGCCUAUUUUUAGUGUGAUGGUUGGAAAGUUUUUUCGGUGUAGGAUGAGCUCGCGGCCUAUCAGCUUGUUGGUGGGGUAAUGGCCUACCAAGGCGGCGACGGGUAGCCGGCCUGAGAGGGUGGACGGCCACAUUGGGACUGAGAUACGGCCCAGACUCCUACGGGAGGCAGCAGUGGGGAAUAUUGCACAAUGGGCGCAAGCCUGAUGCAGCGACGCCGCGUGGGGAUGACGGCCUUCGGGUUGUAAACUCCUUUCGCUAGGGACGAAGCUUUUUGUGACGGUACCUAGAUAAGAAGCACCGGCUAACUACGUG
rnacentral:rRNA from 1 species